CCAUUCCGAAGACGUCAUCAAACAUUGGAAACAAAGUCGGGAGUUCUCGGAUCUUUUCGCCACAAAUGCUUCUAAAACGAUUUUGAAAAAUGCGUUAAAGGGGUCCAACCUAAACCGUAUGACACGUGCUUGAACGUCGUAUACCACUACCAAAAUGGCGGAUAAAGCUCGCUUCGCUACACGACGAACAGUUUGUGAAGACCGCGGCCAACAAUACUCUGGAAGGUCUGCCGUCCGCAGACACGUGGUUGUCCAUCACGGCAGACCAGGCGGGCACCAGUGCACUGACGAGAGUUUUCAACUCGGAGUCAUCUCCAAGAACACAUCGUUUCCAGAUUCAUUGGAAUGAAUUAUCUAUUUUUUAUAUAUAUAUAUAUUGUAUAAUAAAUUAACAUUAUAAUGCA
rnacentral:misc_RNA from 1 species